rnacentral:rRNA from 1 species
UACGAGGGGGGCAAGCGUUGUUCGGAAUUAUUGGGCGUAAAGGGUGCGUAGGUGGUUCGGCAAGUCUUGUGUGAAAUCUUCAGGCUCAACUUGAAGUCUGCACAAGAAACUGCCGGGCUUGAGUAUGGAAGAGGGUCGCGGAAUUCCCGGUGUAGAGGUGAAAUUCGUAGAUAUCGGGAGGAACACCAGUGGCGAAGGCGGCGACCUGGUCCGAUACUGACGCUGAGGCGCGAAAGCGUGGGGAGCAAACAGG